GCAGAUUAUGAUAAAUAUAAAAUGAUAAACUACUUGUAAUAAAAUAUUGUUUAUUGUAAACUUGUAUGUGUGUGUUUGCCUUUCAGAGCUGCCAAAGCACAUGCUCCUCUUGGAUGUGAAGACGAGAUGGAACUCCCUGUUUUUGAUGAUGGAAAGAUUCUGUGAGCAGUUUUCUGCCAUCCAAGCUGCAGCUAUAGAUCCACGGCUAAGAAAGCCCAUGCAAAAGGAUAAACUGGCCAUAAUGGCCAACGAGGACUUAAGGAAAGCAGACGAGUUUGUGCUGCUGAUGCGGAAGCAUUACACAUCCACACUUGCUGUCUCCAGUGACAAAAGUCCAACCUGUAGCCAGAUACUGCCUAUCCUCCAGAAGUUGCAGAAACAUUACACAGUGCAGGCAGAUGAACAUUUGGAACGAUCUUUCAAAACGUUACCAGGUACAGUGAGUGACUGACAUUUAUUAGUCUAUUAUUAAUAAUAAUGACAGUUAAUCAUAUACACUAAAUUAAAUUCAUAUUCAGUAACAUUUACCCCUAAUUUUGUGUUGUCUGUCCAUCUCUUUAAACUUAAGGAUGCUGAUGUCAAGGCAUUCCUGGAGGAGGCCACUGUGUUAGACCCCAGAUUCAAAUCCAAACUGGAUAGGGAUGAGAUCUGGGACAGGGUCAGGGAAGCAGCAGUGGCAGCAAACUCAGAGGCAGCUGCAGAUGAGCUGUCAGAGCAAGGAGAGACACAGAGGCAGGGGGAUGAAGAGGAGGA